UUACGGCCAUAUCACGUUGAAACACCGGUCCUCAUAAGAUCACCGAAGUUAAGCAAAGUCAAGUCUGGUCAGUAUCUAGAUAGGGGACCGCUUGGAAAUACCAGGUGU